rnacentral:rRNA from 1 species
AUUGAACGCUGGCGGCAUGCUUUACACAUGCAAGUCGAACGGCAGCGCGGGCUUCGGCCUGGCGGCGAGUGGCGAACGGGUGAGUAAUGCAUCGGAACGUGCCCAGUAGUGGGGGAUAGCCCGGCGAAAGCCGGAUUAAUACCGCAUACGACCUGAGGGUGAAAGCGGGGGACCGAAAGGCCUCGCGCUAUUGGAGCGGCCGAUGUCGGAUUAGCUAGUUGGUGGGGUAAAGGCUUACCAAGGGGACGAUCCGUAGCUGGUCUGAGAGGACGACCAGCCACACUGGGACUGAGACACGGCCCAGACUCCUACGGGAGGCAGCAGUGGGGAAUUUUGGACAAUGGGGGCAACCCUGAUCCAGCCAUGCCGCGUGCGGGAAGAAGGCCUUCGGGUUGUAAACCGCUUUUGUUCGGGAAGAAAUCCUCUGGGCUAAUACCCCGGGGGGAUGACGGUACCGGAAGAAUAAGCACCGGCUAACUACGUG